GUUUUUUUAAAAGCGCCUGGACUAACCAUCAGCGGUUUGGUUAGUUGACGAGGAGGAGGUUUAUCGAGUUUUCGGCGGAUACCUCCCGGUUGAGCGCACAACCGAUAAUUCCUUCUUUAAAACACAGGGGUAACUCUGUGCACAAAGGGAAGGAUAUGCGCAUAC
rnacentral:ncRNA from 2 species